GCCGUUCUCAGGGAAAUCCACAAAGUGUGCCUGGUGUUAUUAAGACAAUAUGUCUACAGAUUUCAAAAUAAUCCAUUGACUAGAAAAAUUUGCAUCACUAUGGCUUCAAUAGACAAAGUAUUCAAGACAGUGCUUGGAAUUAGUAGCUUUCAUUUAUCCUGCCUACAGGAAGAGGAAGACAAGUUUUAAAUGACAGCUCUUAAAGAUGGUGGCGGAGUCCCAGGAAUGAUGUUGAGAAUCAGGCUGCAUUUCUGAGAAAGCACUCAGAGCUCUUUGCUCUUGUAUACUGCCAAUGUGGAAUCACUUCUAAAUUUGCCUUAAUCCAACUCCUAGGAAAAGGAAGUUUUACCUGCCACAAUGCUCCACACAAAGAAAACCGAGUAAGUCUUGUCAAAGAAGUACUCGGUGGAUGCAGGGCGUUUCUCUUUUUGCCAGCUUCCUUGGCUCAAAUCCCAUGCAAACCAUCUCCCUUCAGCACUAGAGGGAGGUGAUUAACCAUAGAAUCCAAUUAAAAAAAAGAACUAAAAAUCCCUAAUUCUUCUUUUGAAUGAUAAGAGAUUUGGACAAAACAUUUAACUGAAAAACAAUUAUCUCAAAAAAUUUAAAUCCUAGUUGCUUCAUGAGCACUCUAGCACUGGGCCGAACCUCCUUUCUGUACUGUUGAACUGACCUUCUCUUCCCUGCCUCACUCUUACCGAGGUAUAGUCCUUCCUCUCGCUUCUUUGGUGAUUAGCUCAUGUAAUCUAGGAGUGGCUGUAUCAUACUUAUUUUAUUCUAAUUGUUGUCCAACUUUUCCAUUAUUACCACGCAUUUCUUUGAGAAUCAAAAAAGUUUAUUUUAAAAAUAAAUGGAAAGGAUGAUCAAAAUUAGAAGAUACGUAAA
rnacentral:lncRNA from 1 species